rnacentral:rRNA from 1 species
GACGAACGCUGGCGGCGUGCUUAACACAUGCAAGUCGAACGGUAAGGCCCUUCGGGGUACACGAGUGGCGAACGGGUGAGUAACACGUGGGUGAUCUGCCCUGCACUUCGGGAUAAGCCUGGGAAACUGGGUCUAAUACCGGAUAGGACUCCGGACUGCAUGGUCUGGGGUGGAAAGCUUGUGCGGUGUGGGAUGGGCCCGCGGCCUAUCGGCUUGUUGGUGGGGGUAUGGCCUACCAAGGCGACGACGGGUAGCCGGCCUGAGAGGGUGACCGGCCACACUGGGACUGAGAUACGGCCCAGACUCCUACGGGAGGCAGCAGUGGGGAAUAUUGCACAAUGGGCGCAAGCCUGAUGCAGCGACGCCGCGUGAGGGAUGACGGCCUUCGGGUUGUAAACCUCUUUCAGCAUCGACGUAGCGAAAGUGACGGUAGGUGCAGAAGAAGGACCGGCCAACUACGUGCCAGCAGCCGCGGUAA